ACAGAAGAAGGAGAAGAAGCCCCGGAGAGAAGAGCACUCCACAUCAGCGGUGGAUCUCCAGAUGGAGGUGCUGUCUCCUCCUCUCUCUCCUCCUCUCUCCUCCUCUCUGCAGGCGGUGGAUCUCCAGAUGGAGGUGCUGUCUCCUCCUCUCUCUCCUCCUCUCUGCAGGCGGUGGAUCUCCAGAUGGAGGUGCUCUCUCCUCCUCUCUCUCCUCUCUCCUCCUCUCUGCAGGCGGUGGAUCUCCAGAUGGAGGUGCUGUCUCUGCCCACAGACUCAGAGCUGCGCAGACAGAGGCUGGAGGAGCUGCUGAGCCUCACCCACGGAGCCUUCACCUUCACCUUCAUGCAGGACUCUGUGCUGGACGGUGACUCCUCCCCCUCCAGACCCCCCCACAGACUGAGGAGACGAGCCUCCGGAGGCCCCUCCCCCCUGGCUCAUGGAGACCCCAGGAGCCCCCUGUCAAAGACGCUGCACUCCACUCCUCUUCCUCCUCGGCGCCUGGAGCCUAAAGUCCUGACC
ensembl:lncRNA